GACGAACCAUGCAAACGUUAUUCGGAUUCACUGGGCUUAAAGCGUGCGUAGGCGGUCUUGUUAGUCAGGUGUGAAAGCCCUCAGCCUAACUGAGGAAUUGCGCUUGAUACUGCAUGACUAGAGAAUGAUAGAGGUGGGUGGAACUGAUGGUGGAGCGGUGAAAUGCGUUGAUAUCAUCAGGAACACCAGUGGCGAAGGCGACCCACUGGGUCAUUUCUGACGCUGAGGUACGAAAGC
rnacentral:rRNA from 1 species